rnacentral:rRNA from 1 species
UACAGAGGGUGCGAGCGUUGUUCGGAAUUAUUGGGCGUAAAGGGCGCGUAGGCGGUGCGGUAAGUCACCUGUGAAAUCUCCUGGCUCAACUGGGAGCUUGCAGGCGAAACUGCCGUGCUGGAGUGUGGGAGAGGUGAGUGGAAUUCCCGGCGUAGCGGUGAAAUGCGUAGAUAUCGGGAGGAACACCUGUGGCGAAAGCGGCUCACUGGACCACAACUGACGCUGAGGCGCGAAAGCUAGGGGAGCAAACAGG